UGAUGAUCCUGUCCAAUAUGCAAAUGAACAAUAUUUUUCUGUGUCUUUACUUUGUGAUAGUCUACUUUUUUCUCUUUGUAUUUUGAGAUGUCAUCUCAAUGACUUGCCCAGGAAAAUCCAUGUCCAAAGGGAGUGAACUAUUGUGAACUACAGCGAACUACUACUGCUGGGGAGACUGCUGACUUCAAGACAGGUGUACCUUCCAGAAAUCAAGGACUGGCAUCAACGUCUGUGAGCACACAAUACUGUGCUUCCCCACCUACACAAACACAUGCACACACACACACAGACACACAAUGACUGGAUAACCACUAAUGCUAUCAAGACAUGUUUUUAUCUGUUUUUAUUUCUGUUCUUUUGUUUGUAUUACCAGCCAUGCUGUGUGGACCAGGAGACAGAAUCACAAAGCUGUAUGUGACAUACCAAAAAUGUUUCUAAUAUUAUGCAAUUUCAGGGAUUGGUCUGAUAUAUACAGUUAUGAUCUCAUUGUUGUGUCUUUGCUUUCCUUUAGAGUCUACACCUCCAAAAGAGGGUAAUGCCAUCAACCGGUGUGGACCAAAUCUUCAUUCAUCCUCAACAAAAUUAUCACCACUGUAUACCCUGUGAGAAAUAGCUCUUUACUUACUUGUGGUCAUGAAGAUGUGUGCUAUCUUUAUGUAAUGUUGAACUUGUACACUCCAUACUCUACCCUAGCCAAUUCACGAGCAAAACCACCAAGACUGCAAUUACCCUGUAUAACAUACGCUCUUACAUGUUUCCUGGUACUAUUGUAAAAGUGAGCUGUGAUAUAAAGCACUAACAUAAUACAAUAUCUAACUUAGAAACUCAAUUUUCUAUUCCAGCCCAUUGAUGAUGAAGCCCCACCCCCGUAUGAGACUGGACAAAAUGUGAUGGGACAAGUGCAAGCACCUGUUAUUGUGUUAAAGACAAGGGGCUGCUGUGGAAAGAACUCCCUGAAUGUUUGCCUCACUGUCUGUUUUAUCCUGGUGUUAACUGUGCUGCUUUUUUGCCUUGUCUACAUUUUAUUAUCCAUGUGGUUGUAAGAAGUUUGUGUCUAAAUGAUUGUGUGGAACUAAAUUUACCUGCUUGUUCAUUACAGUGUAUUAAAGUUCAAAAGCAGGAAUGGUUGGUGAUUCUAUUUAUUUCAACUGUAUUAACAUUUUUCAUUUCUAAUGUAUUCCAAACGAUGCACCAUUCAUUCCACCUAAAGUAAAUAAACCAGAUUUAGCUAAUUAAUGGCCAAAAAAAUCCAAAAGCAUGCAUCUUCAUACUAAAUGCAUUCUGAAACCAGAAUACGCCCACCACUAUUGUGACUGGCUCUGCACUAGCCAAUGACUGUGUUCUAUGAUAUAAUAUAAAAACACGUUUCAGGAAGCUUCUGUUCAUUCACGACUGGCUACAACUGGAAGUUGGACGAGUGCAGUCAAGUGAGUCCAUAAAUGU